GACGAACGCUGGCGGCGUGCCUAAUACAUGCAAGUAGAACGCUGAAGGAGGAGCUUGCUCUUCUGGAUGAGUUGCGAACGGGUGAGUAACGCGUAGGUAACCUGCCUGGUAGCGGGGGAUAACUAUUGGAAACGAUAGCUAAUACCGCAUAAGAGUAGCUGUUGCAUGACAUUUACUUAAAAGGUGCAAUUGCAUCACUACCAGAUGGACCUGCGUUGUAUUAGCUAGUUGGUGGGGUAACGGCUUACCAAGGCGACGAUACAUAGCCGACCUGAGAGGGUGAUCGGCCACACUGGGACUGAGACACGGCCCAGACUCCUACGGGAGGCAGCAGUAGGGAAUCGUCGGCAAUGGACGGAAGUCUGACCGAGCAACGCCGCGUGAGUGAAGAAGGUUUUCGGAUCGUAAAGCUCUGUUGUAAGAGAAGAACGAGUGUGAGAGUGGAAAGUUCACACUGUGACGGUAUCUUACCAGAAAGGGACGGCUAACUACGUG
rnacentral:rRNA from 1 species